rnacentral:rRNA from 1 species
AUGAACGCUGCGGCAUGCCUAACACAUGCAAGUCGAUCGGUAAGGCUCUUCGGAGUACACGAGAGGCGGACGGCUGAGUAACGCGUAGGAACACACCCUGCAGUGAGGGAUAAGACACCGAAAGGUGUUCUAAUACCGCAUACGGUCUUCGGAUUAAAGCAUUUAUGCGCUGAAGGAGUGGCCUGCGUCAUAUUAGAUAGUUGGUGAGGUAAUGGCUCACCAAGUCGAUGAUGUGUAGCUGGUCUGAGAGGAUGAUCAGCCAGACUGGAACUGAGACACGGUCCAGACUCCUACGGGAGGCAGCAGUGAGGAAUAUUUCACAAUGAGCGAAAGCUUGAUGGAGCAAUGCCGCGUGCAGGAUGAAGGCCUCGGGUUGUAAACUGCUUUUAUAAGAGAAGAUUAUGACGGUAACUUAUGAAUAAGGACGGCUAAAAAA